ensembl:snoRNA
UGGUCAUGUCAAAAGAACACAGGAGAAAGAAAACUCUUUGUAAAUGUCCUAGAGAAAUAUAGUAGCUUUCUGUUCACACUUUGCAAGUAAAAAGGGUGGAUCGUCCCACUACUGACAUAU